rnacentral:lncRNA from 1 species
AAAGACCUGGUCCUUCGCACGCCUCCAGAGGGCAACGCGAGGCGCGCCAAGGCCUACGCCCGCCGCGCCGCCCGGCGCCGCCGCAACUGCUGCUGCGUCCUCCUCGCCUGGCUCGCCGCCCUCCUCGUCCUCCUUGCCGCCGCCGCCGGUGUCCUCUACCUCGUCUUCCGCCCCCGCGCCCCCGACUACUCCAUCGACUCCCUCUCCAUCGCCCCCCUCAACCUCUCUGCCGCCGCCGUCUCGCCCCAGUUCAACGCCACCGUCCGGGCUGACAACCCCAACAAGAAGGUUGGCAUCUACUACCGCCACGGCAGCGACAUCAAAGUGACCUACGACGGCGUCACGCUCUGCGCCGGCGAGUGGCCAGCGUU